GACGAACGCUGGCGGCGUGCCUAAUACAUGCAAGUCGAGCGGACCGAACAGGAGCUUGCUCUUGUUCGGUUAGCGGCGGACGGGUGAGUAACACGUGGGUAACCUGCCCGUAAGACCGGGAUAACUCCGGGAAACCGGAGCUAAUACCGGAUAACACCGAAGACCGCAUGGUCUUUGGUUGAAAGGCGGCUUCGGCUGCCACUUACGGAUGGGCCCGCGGCGCAUUAGCUAGUUGGUGAGGUAACGGCUCACCAAGGCGACGUUGCGUAGCCGGCCUGAGAGGGUGAACCGGCACAAUUGGACUGAGAAACGGCCCAGAAUCCUAAGGGAGGCAGCAGUAGGGAAUCUUCCGGAAUGGAGGAAAGGCUGAAGGGGCGACGCCGCGUGAGCGAAGAAGGGCUUCGGAUCGUAAAGAUCUGUUGUUAGGGAAGAAGAAGCGUCGUUAGAACAGGGCGGCGCGGUGACGGUACCUAACGAGAAAGCCACGGCUAACUACGUG
rnacentral:rRNA from 1 species